UACGUAGGGCGCAAGCGUUGUCCGGAAUUAUUGGGCGUAAAGAGCUCGUAGGCGGCCUGUUGCGUCCGCUGUGAAAUCCCGGGGCUUAACCCCGGGCGUGCAGUGGAUACGGGCAGGCUGGAGGCAGGCAGGGGAGAACGGAAUUCCCGGUGUAGCGGUGAAAUGCGCAGAUAUCGGGAGGAACACCGGUGGCGAAGGCGGUUCUCUGGGCCUGUACUGACGCUGAGGCACGAAAGCGUGGGGAGCAAACAGG
rnacentral:rRNA from 1 species